AGGUCACCCACUGUUUCCCUGGAGGAAAGGACCAGCAAACAAAACUGAGUGAUCUCUUCCUGUUCUUGUGUUUGCCUGCAAGUUGCUUUUGCAUUGCUGUGCGAAGGGAGGGUGGUGCUGAAGGUGUGGCUCCUCCUUGAAGACCAUGUGCAACUCAGAGAGAGAGGAAGGGAGAAAGAGCUCCUGCUGUCCCUGUUGUUGGAGUCUUGUGCACUGUACAUCACAGAAAAAUUAGAACUGUUAGAUUUUUAUCCCCUCAAUACUUUCAAGGAAGCAUGGAGCUGUAGUAGUUGCUUUCACCUUGAGAAGAGGAAUUCAUGCAGGUGGCUCACAGGUUCUGGAGGUCAAAAAAGAACCUGAAGAUCAUCUGCAUUUGGUCUAGCAUGACAGUAGGAAACACUGAAGCAACUAUCACUGACAGUGAACUGAAUCUGUUAUACUCUAGGCUGUAUUUCCUAUGACUGUAUAUGACAGUUUUCUCAAGAUUGUGUCAAAAGCUGUAAUAAAGCUUUAACAUGUA